rnacentral:ncRNA from 2 species
AAUUGCACUAGUCCCGGCCUG